CUCCGGCUUAAAUCACUGCUGAGUUUUUGCAAAGCACUCUGCUCGGAGGGUCCCAGAUCUGUAUAUAAUGUUUAAAUAUUAAUUGGGAAACAGCCGGCAGCGCAGGUGUUCUUCCUCCUCUCCCUUCCCAUGCCUCCCUCGUGGGGCUGCUCUCCUCCGACUCACCGAGUAUUUCCGACAGCAUUCGGCUGCACGCAGUCAGCUGGGAGGGCUGCAGGACGUGCGUCUGAGCACAAAGGAAAUGUGCAAAGGUAGGGACAGGGAAGAGCUUGCUCUGAGCUCCGGUGUGGCUCCUGAGCCCUCUGCACUGUGCCUGCGAAUGCUCUCAGUGACCCAGGUGUGCAAAAAUGGGAACAUCCUGGCUGCACCUAACAGAGCUGCUUGUCUGGAUAAAGUAAUCACAGUUCCACUGAUCAGAACCAGCAUGAUUAUAAUUGUAUAGCAUUGGAGAACAAUUGAAUGGCUUGGAUUGGAAAGGACCUUGAAGAUCAUAAAACUGUGGAGAGGUUGGAUUGGAAGGAUUCUUAAAGAUCACAGAACCGUGGAAUGGUUGGGUUGGAAGGACCUUAAAGAUCAUAGAACUGUAGGAUGGUUGGGUUGGAAGGGACCUCAAAGAUGCUCACCUUAAAUAUCGGGGUGAUGCUCUGUGGGUGCGUGGUAGAGGAGUCAUGCAUCGAUCUGACACUGAUGAAAAGGGCCAUCACCUAUGUGGAGUAUCAGUAUAUCCACCCAUAAAUUGUUAACUGAAUAUCAAUAUAUCAACGCACAAACUGUCAGCAACACUUGCAUGGGCAAUUACUGCAGGGCAGAGCCCACGUACCACUGCAGAGUGGAUUCCCACUCUGCCUGAACCCGGCCCCAGUGCUUGGGCUCAGCAUCCCAUUUCACCCCGUCCAGGGUCACCGUUGGCCCCAACCUCCUGCAGGAAGAAGCAGCAUCCCUGGGGGAGCAGCCCUGUGGCUCCAGCACACGGGAGACAAGUCAGCCCUGUCAGGUCCUGCAAACACAGCCCUCCCAGUGGAGACGCGACCCACAGCCCUGGCUGUGAACCUGGGGGAGCAGAAACAUCCCAGUGCCGGGCAGUGCCAACAAACACUGUGUGAAUGCAUAUCGUCUGUAAGCACAAUGGCAGUGUCAGCACCAUCCAGCAGACCCUCUCUGUGGGUGGGUGAUACCCUGGUGGCUUUGGCCAAGCACUGUGGUGAUGCUCAGCUAGCAGUGCCCACUCUGACCCUGUGUGAGUGCCAAGCACAGGGCAUGGUGCAUGGUGCACAGUGCAAGGUGCUUUGUGCAUGGCGUGCAGUGCACGGUGCUCUCCCACCAGCUGCCCUCCAGCUCCUCCUGCUGCAAAUGCCUGGCAACUAAGAACCAGGAUUUCUGAUCACUGCUGCAAUGGGCAGGACGGCACGGCUGUAGAAAGUACAGGUGUUUGGGCUUUUCUGGACCCUCCUCACACUCUAAAAUAAACCUUAAAUCACUGGAAGCCUUUCCUGUUUAAACAGCACUGGAUGCAUCUCUGCCUGUAUUACGAUACAUUUCCAUGUUAUUAUAUAUUCCCAGAUGUCAUUCCCAGAGCUUUACAAGCUGUUCCAGGCUGCAUUUCCCACCCAGCUGCCAUGUGACCGUGCCACCGGGGUGAAUAACUCCCCGAUUUUCAGAACACAAGCCUUUACAAACCUCUCUGUGAUUGCACCGGGCACUGCGGGAUAGUAAGAAAGAGACUAUCUUUAAAAUAAAACCAGACAACUUACAUCUCUUCUCUCCUCAUCCUCCACCUCCUUACAUCCCUGCUCUCCUUGUUUCAGACUGAAUUCAAGCCGGGGAAGCAGUGAAAAUCUAUAGCAGAGAAUAAAGCAUAAUGAUCUUCUGAGGUUACAUUCGGCUUCGAGUUACUAGGCAAUAUAUCAAUAAGCUGUUUGUUUAGAAUUUAUUUAAUUUCCGCAGCUCCUCUCAGCUGUGCUCAGUUCUGGAGGCUCAGCUGAAGAAAAUCAAAGAGGCGGAGCAGUGCAAAGUGCAGGAAUGCCUUUGGGACUGUGGGCAGCUGCCCCAAACCUGGGGGUGGGGAGGACCGGGCUGCUGAUGGGUUUGGGGUCAUGAAAUGUGAUUUAGGACAACGCGCUUUC
ensembl:lncRNA